rnacentral:tRNA from 1 species
GACACUAUGGCCGAGUGGUUAAGGCGUGUGACUAGAAUGGUCCAAUUGAAGAUUCAAGUUGGGCUGCUUGCCAUCACAUCUCUUCGGAGGCACAGGUUCAAGUCCUGUUGGUGUCG